UAUUCUCAACCCCACCAGCUUUUUUGGCUGGCCCUUGGGGCUUGGAUGUGGAGGUUUUGCUGGCCUCGAAAGGUCAGCUCCUCUGAAAUGUAUUAGCGGAACCGUUUGCGAUCCGUCACAGGUGUGAUAAUUAUCUACGCCAGUGGGUUGCUUUCUGAAUGUUCAGCUUAUAAUCGUCCAGUCAAUGGACAACUUAAUGAAC
rnacentral:misc_RNA from 1 species